UUUAGAGGAAGUAAAAGUCGUAACAAGGUCUCCGUUGGUGAACCAGCGGAGGGAUCAUUACCGAGUUUACAACUCCCAAACCCCUGUGAACAUACCUAUUUGUUGCCUCGGCGGUGCCUGUUCCGACAGCCCGCCAGAGGACCCCAAACCCUGAUUACAUUUAAGAAGUCUUCUGAGUAAACCGAUUAAAUAAAUCAAAACUUUCAACAACGGAUCUCUUGGUUCUGGCAUCGAUGAAGAACGCAGCGAAAUGCGAUAAGUAAUGUGAAUUGCAGAAUUCAGUGAAUCAUCGAAUCUUUGAACGCACAUUGCGCCCGCUAGUAUUCUGGCGGGCAUGCCUGUCCGAGCGUCAUUUCAACCCUCAAGCCCCCGGGCUUGGUGUUGGGGAUCGGCGAGCCUCCGCGCCCGCCGUCCCCUAAAUCUAGUGGCGGUCUCGCUGUAGCUUCCUCUGCGUAGUAGCACACCUCGCACUGGGAAACAGCGCGGCCACGCCGUUAAACCCCCAACUUCUGAACGUUUGACCUCGGAUCAGGUAGGAAUACCCGCUGAACUUAAGCAUAUCAAUAA
rnacentral:rRNA from 1 species